UUUAAUGAGAGUUUGAUCCUGGCUCAGGACGAACGCUGGCGGCGUGCCUAAUACAUGCAAGUAGAACGCUGAGGUUUGGUGUUUACACUAGACUGAUGAGUUGCGAACGGGUGAGUAACGCGUAGGUAACCUGCCUCAUAGCGGGGGAUAACUAUUGGAAACGAUAGCUAAUACCGCAUAAGAGUAAUUAACACAUGUUAGUUAUUUAAAAGGAGCAAUUGCUUCACUGUGAGAUGGACCUGCGUUGUAUUAGCUAGUU
rnacentral:rRNA from 1 species